rnacentral:rRNA from 1 species
ACUCCUACGGGAGGCAGCAGUGGGGAAUAUUUGCACAAUGGGGGGAAACCCUGAUGCAGCCAUGCCGCGUGUGUGAAGAAGGCCUUCGGGUUGUAAAGCACUUUCAGUAGGGAGGAAGGUAGUGUAGUUAACACCUGGCAUUAUUUUGACGUUACCUACAGAAGAAGCACCGGCUAACUCCGUGCCAGCAGCCGCGGUAAUACGGAGGGUGCGAGCGUUAAUCGGAAUUACUGGGCGUAAAGCGCAUGCAGGCGGCCUGUUAAGUCAGAUGUGAAAGCCCGGGGCUUAACCUCGGAAUUGCAUUUGAAACUGGCAGGCUAGAGUCUUGUAGAGGGGGGUAGAAUUUCAGGUGUAGCGGUGAAAUGCGU